rnacentral:rRNA from 1 species
CAGCCGCCACGGGAAUACGAAGGGGGCUAGCGUUGCUCGGAAUGACUGGGCGUAAAGGGCGCGUAGGCGGCCAUUCAAGUUAGAUGUGAAAGCCCUGGGCUCAACCUAGGAAUUGCAUUUGAUACUGUUUGGCUUGAGUUCGGGAGAGGUGAGUGGAAUUCCCAGUGUAGAGGUGAAAUUCGUAGAUAUUGGGAAGAACACCAGUGGCGAAGGCGGCUCACUGGACCGACACUGACGCUGAGGCGCGAAAGCGUGGGGAGCAAACAGGAUUAGAUACCCCCGUAGUCCCUGUCUCUUAUAC